rnacentral:rRNA from 1 species
GGAGCUUGCUCCACCGGAAAAAGAAGAGUGGCGAACGGGUGAGUAACACGUGGGUAACCUGCCCAUCAGAAGGGGAUAACACUUGGAAACAGGUGCUAAUACCGUAUAACAAUCGAAACCGCAUGGUUUUGAUUUGAAAGGCGCUUUCGGGUGUCGCUGAUGGAUGGACCCGCGGUGCAUUAGCUAGUUGGUGAGGUAACGGCUCACCAAGGCCACGAUGCAUAGCCGACCUGAGAGGGUGAUCGGCCACAUUGGGACUGAGACACGGCCCAAACUCCUACGGGAGGCAGCAGUAGGGAAUCUUCGGCAAUGGACGAAAGUCUGACCGAGCAACGCCGCGUGAGUGAAGAAGGUUUUCGGAUCGUAAAACUCUGUUGUUAGAGAAGAACAAGGAUGAGAGUAACUGUUCAUCCCUUGACGGUAUCUAACCAGAAAGCCACGGCUAACUACGUGCCAGCAGCCGCGGUAAUACGUAGGUGGCAAGCGUUGUCCGGAUUUAUUGGGCGUAAAGCGAGCGCAGGCGGUUUCUUAAGUCUGAUGUG